CGCCAGACUCCUACGGGAGGCAGCAGUGGGGAAUAUUGCACAAUGGGGGAAACCCUGAUGCAACAACGCCGCGUGAGUGAAGAAGUAUUUCGGUAUGUAAAGCUCUAUCAGCAGGGAAGAAGAAAGACGGUACCUGACUAAGAAGCCCCGGCUAACUACGUGCCAGCAGCCGCGGUAAUACGUAGGGGGCAAGCGUUAUCCGGAUUUACUGGGUGUAAAGGGAGCGUAGACGGCAUAGCAAGUCUGAUGUGAAAGGCCGGGGCCCAACCCCGGGACUGCAUUGGAAACUGCGAGGCUGGAGUGUCGGAGAGGCAGGCGGAAUUCCUAGUGUAGCGGUGAAAUGCGUAGAUAUUAGGAGGAACACCAGUGGCGAAGGCGGCCUGCUGGACGAUGACUGACGCUGAGGCUCGAAAGUGUGGGGAGCAAACAGGAUUAGAUACCCCAGUAGU
rnacentral:rRNA from 1 species